CUAUCUCUUUCUCCCUCCUUCUUCCUCCCUGAAGUCAAUGAAAAAUAUAUUUUAAAGCUCCAGUCCAGCCCUCCCAAGAUGCUGUGCGCCGGCAGGUGGUUUGGAGCCUCCGGAACUGUGUGCGCGUGUGGAACUUCAGGAACCUGGGGGCUGUAGGAUGCAGGGUCCUGAGUGCUGAGGCCUUUACGAAGAUCCUGAAACUUCCUGCCUCAGUUUUCCCAUCUGUAGAAUGAAAUAAUAGUGCCUGUGGCAUAAGGAUGUUGUGAGGAAUAAAUGAUUGACUCCAGAGUCCAACAGUACCUGGUACAGAAAAAGCAUUCAGAAUAUAGCCAUUGUAAGGCUUAAAAGCAUUGAAUCAAUUUGUAUUCCAAAAUUGGACCAACACAAAGACUUGAUGUUGUGGAGUCGGGAGCAAACCAGCAAUGUCCUCUAAUGAACAAGAAAGAGUCUUGUGUUAUAAUGGUGAAGUCCUUGUUUUUCAGUUGUCUAAAGGAAAUUUUGCAGAUAAAGGGCCUGCAGAAAUACCCAUAUUACAUGUCAGAAGAAUGGUAUUUGACAGAGAAACAAGUGCAUUUGUUCAGAAGUUCACUGGGUCCUUUAGCAUAAAGGAAGAAAACUCCGAUUUAAAAAUCUUGUGUUGUAACUGUGUGUCAGAUUUCAGAACUGGAAUGAACCUCCCUUAUAUUAUGAUACAAUGCAAUGAAAAGAAUAAUGUUUUCAAAUAUUUUCUACUAUUUCUUCACAGUACCAAUAAAUUUGAAAAGCGUUUGAGUUUUAGACUAGCCCAUGAGUUGAAGGAUGGCGUAGGGGUCUUUAACGGGCCUUUAAUUAUAUGGAAACAUGUUAAAACAUUCUUCUAUGUCUCUCCCCAGACUAGCGAAGUUAUUACUGUGUCCAUUAACUUUUCCUCUAUUGAGUGGGCAGGAGAGAUUGAAAAUCUAGGUAUGGUUUUAUUAGGACAAAAGAAAUGUUAUUUAUCUGAGGAGGAAAGCACCUCAGAGCCUUCAAAAUCAGAUUAUGCAAUUUGGAACACCAGAUUCUGUGUAUGCUUGCUUGAAAGUGAAGAAGUAAUAAGUGAUACAUAUAUUAUCCCUCCUGCUUAUAGCAGUGUGAUAACUUGUGUGCAUGUCUGUGCAACUGAGUUUGUCAACAACAAGCUAAGAAUGUCUUUGAUUGCCCUUACUCAGAGGAAUCAGCUGAUUUCAUUCCAGAAUGGGACUCCUAAAAGUGUGUGCCAGCUUCCAUUUGAAGAUCCUUGUGCAAUACAACUUAUGGAUUCAGGCGAAGACCGCCUUCUCAUUGUGUCCUUCAGGUCCAGUGCUUGUGGUGUUUGGGAAAAGAACUUUCAGGUUGCUGCUAAGUGGGAGCAAAUUAGCUCAGUACUCGUAGAUGACUUUAUUGGAACGGGGACAGAACAAGUACUGCUACUUUUAAAGGACUCCUUAAAUUCAGAUUGCCUGAGUUCAUUUAAAAUAACAGAUCUUGAUAACAUAAACUAUUCAAGUCAAACAUUGGAUUGCAAUAAAGAUGACACAUUUGCAGACAAAGAAGAUAAUCGUUAUUUGGUGAUUCCAGCUCUGGAAAGAAGAGUGAAAGUUGGCUUGGCUUCUAUUCAGGAAGUUCAGCAGCAUCUUUUGCUUAAGGAAAAGGUUAUCUUAAAAACUUACAAAGCCUUAAUGAACUUGCUUCAAGGAAAAGAAUGUAGCACAUCAAUUGCAGAGGAGGAAUGUCUUGUAACUCUUUGUGGUGAAGAAGAAAAUCCUGUUCAUACUUGUGAUACGAACUUAUCAGGCAAUUCUCAAGUUUCAAAACAGCUAGUAGAGAAGACAUGGUAUCGUGUAAUAGAUGAUAGUUUGGUUGUUGGAGUGAAAACCACAUCUUCUUUGAAGCUGCCUCUGAACCAGGUGACUUUAUCGUUGGUAAUGGAUGAACCUCAUAGCUCCAACUUUCGGCUUAUUAAGUGUCAAAACAGGGCGAUCAAGUUGAGUAGGGACUCUUUUUCAGCACCCUGCUCAGUGCCAUAUGAAAAAGGACCAGAGGCAAAAAGAAUCAAAUUGACUGUUGAUAGUGAGGAAGAGGAAGAGGAGAGCUUUGUUGGUGGACAAUAUUCUGAGAGAGUGUGUUCAGAUAGUUACUGCCGUAACAGCUCUUUCACCACUUUUGGCAUUCAGUCAGGUAUGUUGCAUUGUGCUGCUGCAAAUUAGGGAGAAAGAAAAUGGUAACUCUUCUGAACAUCGUUUUUUUCCAUGUGGCAGACUUUUUCUAAGUCUAGAAGAUUUUUCAAGUGGGAAAUACCUAGUGACCUUUCCAAAGAAACCUAUAGAACAAAUGGAAGAUCUCUUUGCACUUCUUGCAACAUUGCAAAAAACUUGCUUCCAAAUUACAUCAGCCAGAUAUGCCCUGACUUCAAUGAGGACAUGGCUCUUGGAACACAUGAAAUGUGAAGUAAUUAAAAAAUUUCCAGAAAUUUGCUUUUGUAAAGGGUCAGAAAAUUUGUAUGGGACACUCUUCCACUGGCAACAAAGGACACCAUUUGAAGGGAUUUUAAUAAUCUAUUCCAGGAAUCAAUCAAUUUUGUUUCAGUGCCUUCAUAAUCUCACCAGAAUUCUCCCUAUAAACUGUUUCUUGAAAUAUCUAAAAUCAGGAAGUGAGGAUUUCCUGAGUGAUCAUUUGGCAUUAACUUUGGAGAAGGAAUUGGUUAUCCUUGGUUCUCUUUCUUCUGCCUUAGUUAAGGUUGAAAACAACUUGGUGCAGAGCUGUGAAGCAAGCAAAGAAAAUAGUAGUGGUGUUCUGACUGUUUUAUCAGACAGCAAAGAAAACAUCCAGCCCUACAGAGAAGAACUUCAGAGAGAAAAGCAAACUUUGGAGACGGACCUAAAAGUGAGCGGUGCCCUUUAUAGAGAACUGACUUUGCAAUUAGCUGAGGUUCAGCGGAAAUCAGACCUUACUGCACAGAAAUUGAGUGGUCAGUAAUUAUAAUCUCGAUUUGGUUAUAUUUUAAAAUAUUUUCCCUGCCAGAAUAGUUUGGUUUCACUUGGUUUUAUUUCACAUUAUAUGCCUCCUUUGUAAAAAUUAAAAGUGAGGCUUUUUGUAGAAUCAGGUUUUGAUGAUGCACAAAAUAUCAAGCCUUAGAACAGCACUUCUUGAACUGGGGCCAUUUUGCCUCUCUCCAACCUUCUCCCCCCUUUCUUCACCUUCCCUGCCCAGGAGCAUUUAGCUUGUUUGGAGACUACUUUUUUUUGUCAAAAGGAGUGGACAGUGGGGAGGCUGACGCAGGGGUGCUAUUCACAUCUGGUAGGUGGGAGCCAGGGAUGCUGCUAAAUAUCCCAGUGUGCACAGAUGAACCCCCCUAGAAAGAAUGAUUCUUGCCCGGCUGGUGUGGCUCAGUGGUUGAGCGUCGACCUAUGAACCAGGAGGUCGGGGUUCAAUACCCGAUCA